UCUGCUAGAGAGUUCACAGCACUCUCAGGGAUGUCUUGUGGGUCUGACCUCAGGGAGCAAGUCUGUGUUGGGGAGAAUCUGGCUCACUGGCUUAUGUGCACAGCAUCUGGAUACUUGCUGCAUUUCUGUGCUUGACAGACACUAAUACUCAUGUUUCCUUCAUUUCUUAAAAAACUUACAGUUUUCUUCCCAAGAUGUAUAACCAAAAGUUAGAAAGAAAGAAAGAAAGAAAGAAAGAAAGAAAGAAAGAAAGAAAGAAAAGAAGAGAGAAAGGUCUUUUCUCUAUGUGCAUUUCAUCAACACAGCCUCAGCUUGAGAUCCCUUGGGAAAAGCCUUUCAAGACAGGCAGAAUGAUGUCCUUCCUGCCACAACAUAAUUUCCCAGCUGCCAGGGGAAAACUAGAUAUUGUACCCUAAACAACAACCAAGAGAGACUAGAUAAUCACUCCCUAAGGGCACUUGAUUCAGCCUCCCUCACAAAGGGCUGUAGAAACAAUCUUGAAGUUACUAUUAACUCUACAAUUUAAAAGACACAAAAUGGAUUCCUGUCCUUACUUAUUGGAAUGGCUGUACUGUGUUUUUCAGGAGCAGCACGAGACUGGUGUAGCCUUUCCUUAAGGAAGUAGGCACCACUGGAUAAUUCAAGUCAAAGAUAGGGAGUGCUCGACCUAUGGACCAUCUCCUCAUACAUUGAUGAAGCAACCCUUAUCUAAAGCCAACAAAAACAGGUAAUUAUUGCAUCUCCUGGUUGAGGUGAUAAACAACUCAAAUGUGGACCGGUAGAGCAUAUCUGUGGGCUUACAAUUCAAGUCAACCGUGAAAGGAGGAGGGAAACAGAGGAAACAGUUUCAUUUCCCAGUAACUCCCCUGACCUGAAUUAAGGUGGGAACUGAGGAGAAUCUCUGUAAAAAUAACAACAUGCAAACUACAGAAAGACGGGGCUGUGCCCAUUUAACAGUCUGGGUCCUAAACACUUUCUGGUUAUUGUGCAAUGAGUAAAAAAUCCUCAGGGAUAAAUCAUAGAUCUAGAAUUUUAGAUGAUCUCUGUGUAAGACAAAGAACAACAGCCAUUCUAUAUCAUGCCAAUUUAACAAAGCAAUGUAACAUCUAUUUGCCUGAACACCAAAGGCACUAGCAACUGGAUGGGAAGAAAAGAUCCAAAUGCUCUUUCUCAGACAAUCAUUAUUUCAUUGACUUGAUCAUUGUCAGCCAUCUUCAGCAUAACUACAGGACAAUUUUGAACAUAUUGAAGACUCUUAGAAUAUCACCACUCAGAUUUUC